GGGCGUAAGAGCUCCGUAGGCGGCUUGUCCGCGUCCGGAUGUGAAAGCCCGGGGCUUAACUCCCGGGUCCUGCAUUCCGAUACGGGCAGGCUAGAGUUCGGUAGGGGAGAUCGGAAUUUCCUGGUGUAGCGGUGAAAUUGCGCAGAUAUCAGGAGGAACACCGGUGGCGAAGGCGGAUCUCUGGGCCGAUACUGACGCUGAGGAGCGAAAGCGUGGGGAGCGAACAGGAUUAGAUACCCUGGUAGUCCACGCCGUAAACGUUGGGAACUAGGUGUGGGCGACAUUCCACGUUGUCCGUGCCGCAGCUAACGCAUUAAGUUCCCCGCCUGGGGAGUACGGCCGCAAGGCUAAAACUCAAAGGAAUUGACGGGGGCCCGCACAAGCGGCGGAGCAUGUGGCUUUAAUUUCGACGCAACGCGAAGAAACCUUUACCAAGGCUUUGACAUACACCCAGAAAACCCCUGGAGACAGGGUCCCCCCUUUGUGGCUGGUGUACAGGUGGUGCAUGGCUGUCGUCAGCUCCGUGUCGUGAGAUGUUGGGGUUAAGUCCCCGCAACGAGCGCAACCCCCUGUCCUGUGUUGCCAGCAGGCCCCUUGUGGGUGCUGGGGGACUCACGGGAGACCCGCCGGGGUCAACUCGGGAGGAAGGUGGGGGACGACGUCAAGUCAUCAUGCCCUCUUAUGUCUUGGGCUGCACACGUGCUACAAUGGGCCGGUACAAUGAGCUGCGAUACCGUGAGGUGGAGCGAAUCUCAAAAAGCCGGUCUCAGUCCGGGAUUGGGGUCUGCAACUCGACCUCCAUGAAAGUCGAGUCGCUAGUAAUCGCAGAUCAGCAUUGCUACGGUGAAUACGUUCCCCGGCCUUGUACACACCCGCCCGUC
rnacentral:rRNA from 1 species